AGAGUUGAUCAUGGCUCAGGACGAACGCUGGCGGCGUGCCUAACACAUGCAAGUCGAACGGAACUCUUGGAACAAGGCUUCGGCCAAGGGAAUUGAGUUAGUGGCGGACGGGUGAGUAACGCGUGAGCAACCUGCCCUUCGAGGGGACAACAGUUGGAAACGACUGCUAAUACCGCAUGACAUACAGAGAUCGCAUGGUCAUUGUAUCAAAGAUUUAUCGCCGAAGGAUGGGCUCGCGUCUGAUUAGCUGGUUGGUGAGGUAACGGCUCACCAAGGCGACGAUCAGUAGCCGGACUGAGAGGUUGAACGGCCACAUUGGGACUGAGAUACGGCCCAGACUCCUACGGGAGGCAGCAGUGGGGAAUAUUGGGCAAUGGGGGGCAACCCUGACCCAGCAACGCCGCGUGAAGGAAGAAGGCUUUCGGGUUGUAAACUUCUUUUAUCAGGGACGAUAAUGACGGUACCUGAUGAAUAAGCCACGGCUAACUACGUGCCAGCCGCCGC
rnacentral:rRNA from 1 species